UCCUGAUUUAGACCUUCACGUGCUGCC
rnacentral:piRNA from 1 species